rnacentral:rRNA from 1 species
GACGAACGCUGGCGGCGUGCCUAAUACAUGCAAGUUGAGCGCUGAAGGGUGGUACUUGUACCAACUGGAUGAGCAGCGGACGGGUGAGUAACGCGUGGGUAAUCUGCCUUUGAGCGGGGGACAACAUCUGGAAACGAAUGCUAAUACCGCAUAAAAACUUUAAACACAAGGUUUAAGUUUGAAAGAUGCAAUUGCAUCACUCAAUGAUGAUCUCGCGUUGUAUUAGCUAGGUGGUGAGGUAAAGGCCCACCAAGGCGAUGAUACAUAGCCGACCUGAGAGGGGUGUCCGCCACAAUUGGACCUGAACACGGGCCAAGCUCCCUCGGGAGGGAGCAGGAAGGGAACUUCGGGCAAUGAGCGAAAGCUGACCGAGGAACGGCGCGGGGGGGAAGGAGGGUUUUGGAUCGGAAAACUCUGUUGAUAGGGAAGAAAGAUGGGUGGAAUUGAAAGCUCAUCAAGUGACGGUAACUACCCAGAAAGGGACGGCUAACUACGUG